rnacentral:sRNA from 1 species
GAUCAAGGUAGAAAGGCUAAAUUCGCGUCGUCCUGACGCAACGCCUUUCUGACCAACAUCCUAUUGG